rnacentral:rRNA from 1 species
UACGGAGGAUCCAAGCGUUAUCCGGAUUUAUUGGGUUUAAAGGGUGCGUAGGCGGUCGGAUAAGUUAGAGGUGAAAUCCCGGGGCUCAACUUCGGAAUUGCCUCUGAUACUGUUCGGCUAGAGAGUAGUUGCGGUAGGCGGAAUGUAUGGUGUAGCGGUGAAAUGCUUAGAGAUCAUACAGAACACCGAUUGCGAAGGCAGCUUACCAAGCUACUUCUGACGUUGAGGCACGAAAGCGUGGGGAGCAAACAGG